UAUGUGGUGCCCGCGCCGCGGUAAUACGUAGGGAGCGAGCGUUGUCCGGAAUUACUGGGUGUAACGGGAGCGUAGGCGGGAUCGCAAGUCAGAUGUGAAAACUAUGGGCUUAACCCAUAAACUGCAUUUGAAACUGUGGUUCUUGAGUGAAGUAGAGGUAAGCGGAAUUCCUAGUGUAGCGGUGAAAUGCGUAGAUAUUAGGAGGAACAUCAGUGGCGAAGGCGGCUUACUGGGCUUUAACUGACGCUGAGGCUCGAAAGCGUGGGGAGCAAACAGG
rnacentral:rRNA from 1 species